rnacentral:rRNA from 1 species
GACGAACCGUGCGAACGUUAUUCGGAAUCACUGGGCUUAAAGCGCGUGUAGGCGGGACGGCACGUCUGUCGCUGAAAUCCCCCGGCUUAACCGGGGAACUGGCGGAGAUACGACCGUCCUGGAGGGGCGUAGGGGGACCUGGAACUUCCGGUGGAGCGGUGAAAUGCGUUGAGAUCGGAAGGAACGCCCGUGGCGAAUGCGAGGUCCUGGACGCCUACUGACGCUGAGACGCGAAAGCCAGGGGAGCGAACGGG